rnacentral:rRNA from 1 species
AUUGAACGCUGGCGGCAGGCUUAACACAUGCAAGUCGAGCGAGCGGCGGACGGGUGAGUAAUGUCUGGGAAACUGCCCGAUGGAGGGGGAUAACUACUGGAAACGGUAGCUAAUACCGCAUACGAUCAGAUGUGCCCAGAUGGGAUUAGCUAGUAGGUGGGGUAAUGGCUCACCUAGGCGGCGAUCCCUAGCUGGUCUGAUAGGAUGACCGGCCGCACUGGAACUGCGACCCGGUCCAGACUCCUACGGGAGGCAGCAGUGGGGAAUAUUGCACAAUGGGGGCAAGCCUGAUGCAGCCAUGCCGCGUGUGGGAAGAAGGCCUUCGGGUUGUAAAGCACUUUCAGCGAGGAGGCGUUACUCGCAGAAGAAGCACCGGCUAACUCCGUGCCAGCAGCCGCGGUAAUAC